rnacentral:rRNA from 1 species
UGGGGAAUCUUGCGCCAAUGCGCGAAAGCGUGACGCAGCGACGCCGCGUGGGGGAUGAAGGCCCUCGGGUUGUAAACCCCUUUCGCCAGGGACGAAGCGAGAGUGACGGUACCUGGAGAAGAAGUCCCGGCUAACUACGUGCCAGCAGCCGCGGUAACACGUAGGGGACGAGCGUUGUCCGGAUUCAUUGGGCGUAAAGCGCGCGUAGGCGGUCGUGUAAGUCGGUUGUGAAAUCCCGGGGCUCAACCCCGGGACUGCGUCCGAUACUGUGCGACUGGAGGUAGGUAGGGGAGAUCGGAAUUCCUGGUGUAGCGGUGAAAUGCGCAGAUAUCAGGAGGAACACCGGUGGCGAAGGCGGAUCUCUGGGCCUUGCCUGACGCUGAGGCGCGAAAGCUAGGGGAGCGAACAGGAUUAGAUACCCUGGUAGUCCACGCUGUAAACGAUGAGCACUAGGUGUAGCGGGUACUCAUUCCUGCUGUGCCGCAGCUAGCGCGUUAAG